GACGAACGCUGGCGGCGUGCUUAACACAUGCAAGUCGAACGGUAAGGCCCUUCGGGGUACACGAGUGGCGAACGGGUGAGUAACACGUGGGUGAUCUGCCCUGCACUUUGGGAUAAGCCUGGGAAACUGGGUCUAAUACCGGAUAGGACCAUUGCCUGCAUGGGUGGUGGUGGAAAGCUUUUGCGGUGUGGGAUGGGCCCGCGGCCUAUCAGGUUGUUGGUGGGGUGAUGGCCUACCAAGGCGACGACGGGUGGCCGGCCUGAGAGGGUGACCGGGCACACUGGGACUGAGAUACGGCCCAGACUCCUACGGGAGGCAGCGGUGGGGAAUAUUGCGCAAUGGGCGCAAGCCUGAUGCAGCGACGCCGCGUGAGGGAUGACGGCCUUCGGGUUGUAAACCUCUUUCAGCAUCGACGAAGCGCAAGUGACGGUAGGUGCAGAAGAAGGACCGGCCAACUACGUGCCAGCCGCCGCAGUAA
rnacentral:rRNA from 1 species